UCGUACGAGGCAGAUUAUUCCGUAGCAGCGCGUUAUCCUCUCCAGUAAUAUUCGUACUAUUUCUCACAGUUUUCGAUCAUAACCUUUUCCGUCGUUAUCUAUUGCAGAGAGUGUCGAACGUAUUCCGUGCGAUAAUAUUCGAGUUUCCUCUUUGUCUUAAAAUGGCAAAGUACGCGUCGGGAGUGUCCUUUAAAAAGUCGCACGACUUUUGUAUUUGCGACGCGAACGCGAGUGAGUGCUUUAGACUGCGAGGACUGAGAGGAGGAGGAGGCUCAGGAGGAGCAUCGGACGCCGGCGGAACAACGUUUAAAUCAACUUUGCAGAUCAACAACUCCGCUGCCGUGCUGAAACGUAUUCUUUGGUGAAUUCGGAGGCGAUUUUUUUCCCCGACGAAAAAGGUUGCGACUCCGUUACGCGGACGAUGGGGCAAUAAUGGACCGGAUCGCCGACGGAGCGCCAGCGGAGAGAAGACAGUUUCACGCAGCACGCAAAUUACAAAUAAAUACAAAGCGAGCGUGCGUCGCGAAGCGGAGCGGAUACCACGCAUACGUCGUUGGAGAGCAGUGAGUAUGGUCCCGGUCAUUAGUUGCAAUUAACCAUGACGACCGUGGCAUUCCCCGCGGAUUUAUGUACUAAUUACGCUAAUUAAUUUAUCCGCUGCGCCGGUGAACGCGUUCGCAUGGACCUGCUUCUUGCGCUCUCUGACAUA